UACGUACCGUCCAAACGUUAUUCGGAAUUACUGGGCUUAAAGGGUACGUAGGCGGCGCUGUCAGUCGGGUGUGAAAUCCCAGGGCUCAACCCUGGAACUGCGCCCGAUACUGCAGUGCUUGAGGGAGACAGAGGUAAGCGGAACUGAUGGUGGAGCGGUGAAAUGCGUUGAUAUCAUCAGGAACACCAGUGGCGAAAGCGGCUUACUGGGUCUCUUCUGACGCUGAGGUACGAAAGCUAGGGGAGCGAAGGGG
rnacentral:rRNA from 1 species